rnacentral:rRNA from 1 species
AUUGAACGCUGGCGGCAGGCUUAACGCAUGCAAGUCGAGCGGGGUGAUGGUGCUUGCACUAUCACUUAGCGGCGGACGGGUGAGUAAUGCUUAGGAAUCUGCCUAUUAGUGGGGGACAACAUCUCGAAAGGGAUGCUAAUACCGCAUACGUCCUACGGGAGAAAGCAGGGGAUCACUUGUGACCUUGCGCUAAUAGAUGAGCCUAAGUCGGAUUAGCUAGUUGGUGGGGUAAAGGCCUGCCAAGGCGACGAUCUGUAGCGGGUCUGAGAGGAUGAUCCGCCACACUGGGACUGAGACACGGCCCAGACUCCUACGGGAGGCAGCAGUGGGGAAUAUUGGACAAUGGGGGGAACCCUGAUCCAGCCAUGCCGCGUGUGUGAAGAAGGCCUUAUGGUUGUAAAGCACUUUAAGCGAGGAGGAGGCUCUUUUGGUUAAUACCCAAGAUGAGUGGACGUUACUCGCAGAAUAAGCACCGGCUAACUCUGUGCCAGCCGCCGCAGUAA